AUUACUGACACUGAGAAGCGAAAGCAUGGGUAGCGAACAGGAUUAGAUACCCUGGUAGUCCAUGCCGUAAACGUUGGGCACUAGGUGUGGGGGACAUUCCACGUUUUCCGCGCCGUAGCUAACGCAUUAAGUGCCCCGCCUGGGGAGUACGGCCGCAAGGCUAAAACUCAAAGGAAUUGACGGGGGCCCGCACAAGCGGCGGAGCAUGCUGAUUAAUUCGAUGCAACGCGAAGAACCUUACCAAGGCUUGACAUGCACUGGACGGCUGCAGAGAUGUGGCUUUCUUUGGACUGGUGCACAGGUGGUGCAUGGUUGUCGUCAGCUCGUGUCGUGAGAUGUUGGGUUAAGUCCCGCAACGAGCGCAACCCUCGUUCUAUGUUGCCAGCACGUGAUGGUGGGGACUCAUAGGAGACUGCCGGGGUCAACUCGGAGGAAGGUGGGGACGACGUCAAAUCAUCAUGCCCCUUAUGUCUUGGGCUUCAAGCAUGCUACAAUGGUCGGUACAAUGGGUUGCGAAACUGUGAGGUGGAGCGAAUCCCAAAAAGCCGGCCUCAGUUCGGAUUGGGGUCUGCAACUCGACCCCAUGAAGUCGGAGUCGCUAGUAAUCGCAGAUCAGCAACGCUGCGGUGAAUACGUUCCCGGGCCUUGUACACACCGCCCGUCAAGUCACGAAAGUCGGUAACACCCGAAG
rnacentral:rRNA from 1 species